rnacentral:rRNA from 1 species
UGACGGAGCAGACCGCGUGGGGGAGGAGGCUCUUGGGUUGUAAACCCCUUUUCUCAAGGAAGAACACAAUGACGGUACUUGAGGAAUAAGCCUCGGCUAACUCCGUGCCAGCAGCCGCGGUAAUACGGAGGAGGCAAGCGUUAUCCGGAAUGAUUGGGCGUAAAGCGUCCGUAGGUGGCAGUUCAAGUCUGCUGUCAAAGACAGUAGCUCAACUACUGAAAGGCAGUGGAAACUGAACAGCUAGAGUACGGUAGGGGCAGAGGGAAUUCCCGGUGUAGCGGUGAAAUGCGUAGAUAUCGGGAAGAACACCGGUGGCGAAAGCGCUCUGCUGGGCCGUAACUGACACUGAGGGACGAAAGCUAGGGGAGCGAAUGGGAUUAGAUACCCCAGUAGUC